CACUCAUGUAAACUUAAAAACUCGGCAAUGAGUUACCAUAUGGAGCUCCAAGUACAAACGCUGUGUCUGUCGCCUUUGAGGUCUCCAGACAAAGGCGGGCAGUGAAGGAAGGACUCUAGGGGAUGGGCACAAUGCAAGGUGGACAACUCACCCAUUUCAGGAGCUGGCUUCAGCCCCACAGCACCACAGGGAUGGAGACAGAUAUGAACCUGGACCAAGCCAUGGUGUCCUGCCUGAAUCAUCAGAGCUACUGAUACACAGCAAAAUCCCCCAGACUGUGACAGCGUCGUCAAUGCCAGGUUGAAAUACGCUAUUCUGGCCCAGCUCAGUGGCUCACACGUGUAAUCCCAGCACUUUGGAAGGCCAAGGCAGGCAGAUCGCUUGAGCCCAGGAAUUCGAGACCAGCCUGGGCAAGAGGCUGAGGUGGGAGGAUGACCUGAGCCCGGGAGGUCAAGGCUGCAGCCAGCUGUGAUAGUGUCACUGCACUCAAGCCAGGGCGUCGGAGUGAGACCGUGUCCAAAAAAAAGGAAGGAAAGAAGGAAGGAAGGAAGGAAGGAAGGAAGGAAGGAAGG